rnacentral:tRNA from 1 species
UGUAACUCAGUUGGUAGAGUGCUCGCUUCGCAUGCGAGAUGUCUAGGGUUCGACUCCCUACUCG